AACAAAAUUAACAAAGAUAUUUUAAAUAUUAAAGAACGAAGAAGACGACUUAUUAUUUGAGUUUUCUACUAAGAAGGACUAGAGUUAGUACACAAAAUGGUCACCUUUUAGUAAAAAAAUAAAGACUAAAUAUUUUUUAAAUCCUAUUUACAAGAAAAUGAGUUACAUAAACUUGAAUAAAUAUUUGGAUGGAUAUACUGAAAGAGCUCUCGAACAUUCAUUUGGGUUUGAUCCCAUUUCUUUCUAGUACUAAUUCGGAUUGUUGUCCACCCAUAUUCGGAGUGUUGUGGUGGUUUAGAUCAUUUAUUGCUCUGAAUUUGUAUUCAUUACCAUGUUUAUCUAGUACUUGUAACAUUAAUUAAGAAGUGGCCUCCUUAUGUUUCCACCAUUUCUUCAACUCUAUCUCUUUCUAAUCGCCUUGUUUUUAUUUUGUUCUCUUGAUCUCUCCCAAAUCUCAUCAUCUCCUACCGCCGAUUUCACUUCUCAAGGAAAUUAGGGAUGAUUAAGCCUAAUUUUAGACAAGUAGUCUGGAGAGGAGAAGCUGAAGAGUUAUCAUUGCUGAUUAACAUCUCGAUCAUUCUCUUUUGUCCAAGGGUUACGUUAAGGCUCAAGAUUGAGGAUCGUGCUCGGGACCGCUCUUUAUCUAUUGCUCGGGACUUGAGAUGAAGGCAAAGGAAAGUUGGACCAACCAUGAGUUGGAGAGCUCUGGGGGCGGAGUGUACAUUGUCAACUGCUCGACUGCCACGACCGGGGGAAUUUACAGGAAUUAGAGCUCUAAACUGUAUUUUUCCAUUAGACUAUCUUUUGUUGUAUCAGUCUUUGAGAGUUGUAUUUGUCAUGUAAACCUUGUUUCUGGGAUCUCAUGUAUCAAACACUUGUUUUAAUGAAAAUUAACCGUUUAGGAUCAAAAUCUUUUAACCCUAACCUAUUAGUUGACUUUAGAUUCACAUUUAUGUUCAAAUGACUUGAUUAGCAAGUCUUGCACUAUUUUAAACGCAUAGUGUAACGGUCUUGGUUAUCUAGGGCGUUACAAAUUGGUAUCAGAGCCAUAUAGGUUUAAGGGUUCCUGAAGACUGGCUGGGCAUGUACACUCCCCGCUAAAGACAAGCUCGACUUAGGGUUUGGUAACUAUAUAUGUGUGAUUAUAUGCUUAAUGUUUAAGUGAAAUGUAAAUGCUUUAUUUGCAUGAUUAAUUAGGAGCAUGAGAUAUAUUGAUAGGGCCUGACCCUUGAUUACUAUGUGGAUAUGUUAAGGCUUGCGUAUUAGCAUUGCUAUUGUAUAUGAAUAAUUGUUUAAA